CCUACUUCCAAUAUUUCAGUGGUAGAAUGCCUGCUUUCCAUGCAAAAGGUCCCAGGUUCCAUCACUGGAAUCUCCCAAGUAGGG